rnacentral:lncRNA from 1 species
AUCUGGGUCUAUGUUUGUGGACCACAAACAUGGCGUGUGUCAAGAGUAGACAGAAGAUAGUGUUAUAGUCAUCGGAACUGGAGCUGUAAUUCUAUGGUAAGAACAAUGUUUGUGAGCUGCCAUGUGGCCCUGGAAACCAAGCCUUGGUUCUUUUGGGUAACAGCAAGUUCUCUUAUCUGCAGAGCUGUCUUUCCAGUCACAAAUUUUCAUUCAUACUGCUAUUGAAGUUGGUGCCUUAUUGUGAACACA